UGGCAUUGUUGUUCUUAUGGGGUCUCAAGCU
rnacentral:piRNA from 1 species